UCAUACAUGGUGUAAGGGAAACACAGCCUCAUACUUUUAGGCGGUGAAUCCGAAAAAAUUAAGUGGCAGUCCGGGGUUCGAAUCCCUGUGUCUGAA